GCUGUUAAAGGAAGCUUUAUGGAAUGGAUACACGUGUAUCUCUUAUGAGUUAUGACCAAACUCAAGAACAAUUGUUGAUUUCCAUGUCUUGUUUUCCUUCUUCCACUCAUAUUUCAAAUCCUUUAAUUCUUUUCUUUGCGUUUUCUUUUAUACUGAUAUUGAAGAAGGAAGAUCAAACAGAAGUGCUUUAUUUUAUACAUCAGAGAGAAAUAUUUAUAUAUAUAUAUAUAUAUACAUAUUUUACAUUGAGAAGAUUGGUACCGCUGAGCCCAAUUUCGAGGAAUUCUUUGAGGAGGAGAAGUGGUUUCAUAAUUCCUUUUACUUAUAUAAAAUUCUAAUAGGUUUGCUAAGGAGAAUUUCGGUGUGAAGUUUUGUGGAGAAAGUGUUGGUGUCAAAAUAGCAAUAUAUGAAGAGGUACGUUCAAGGAUUUGAAAAUUCUUUCUGUUCAUUGGGCUCUCCCUUCACCUCAUUGGAUUAAAAUUAAUUUUGAUGGUGCUAUAGUGGUGGUCCUGGAAUUGUGGGUUGCGGUGGUAUCUUUCAAACCAGUAGGAGUUUUGUUAAAGGUUACUUUGCUCGGUUUCCUUUUGAAGCUGAACUUACGGGUAUCGAAGAUGGUUAAUUAAGAAAUAUUCACGGGAUGGCUUGAAUGUGAUCCACUGCUUUGGUUAAUGUUUUUCAAUCUAUUUUUACUUUAGUGCCAUGGAAGUGGAAAGCCCAUUGGUCUCAUUGUAACGAUUACAUUUUGAAAAUUAACUUUCAAGUUUCACACAUUUAUAGGGAGGGUAAUCAAGUGGCUAACACUCUUCCAAGUAUGCUCUUGUUCAUGAGAAUUUAUAUUGGUAGUGACAUUUUCCAAAUCUCUACUGGUAUCUUUUACACUUUUGUUAUUUUCCCUUCUCGGGUUUUUCUUCAAUGAGGCCGUUUUGGUGAUUUAUUUUGUAUAUUUUAUCUUUAUAGUUCUUUCUGGGCAUUUAAAUGGCCUUUCAA